rnacentral:lncRNA from 1 species
CGCUCAUCUAUACUCUGCAUAGUAUCUGGCCAGCUGUCACAAUAUACACACCGCGUGUUUAAGAAUCGCUUAUAUUUUUACUUAUAUUUAGACAACAGCAGUCCAGAGGGAAAUUAAUAAUUGUUUACCCUUUUACAGAUGCAGUUUAACAAGCAUACCAGGUGACAAUAAAGACGGCAACGUCCAACACACGUGUAAUUGAGGUUGAACGAUCCGAUGUCUUUACAUUAAUUACUGUGGGUAAAUCCGCUCAAUAUUCACAAGGAAGAGCAUAUUAUUAUUCUUAGAUCGUAUCACAGGUAUUAAUGUAUCGAAUAAUGUAUCAAAUAGGUACUAAUGUAUUCAUAACCUAUACUUGUACCAGAAAAGGAACAUGCUAACACCAUUUCAAUUAAUAGACAGAAACUAUGUAAUACAUUUUAUCAGAUUGUCGUUCCCUGUUUAUAGGCUAAGAAGACUUCCGUUAUUAUAUUAAGAAUUGAGCUACUACCACAGCGUAUACGAUAUAUCUCGUACUUGCAUAUAUAAGAUCGAGAUCAUCCAAUCUGCAUAUGUAAUUAUCAAUAAAAGAGAUAUUAUAUCCGUGGGGUUAUACUCUCAGUAAUACAGAGCAACUGCUCGCAGCUCAUCUGCCGUGACAGAAGGAUGUCACGGUAAUUCACCUGUCUUACAUCUGUCGCAAUCAUUCAAUGGAACAGUGGCAACCAUAUACCGAUUACGUGGUAUUAUACUCCUGAGGCAAUACACUCAACAGAUUCUGUGCACCUGCUCGCAGUACAUCAGCCUUGACAAAAUGAAUUGCAGAGAAUUACAUCAAAGCGCUCAUGCAAUGGGACAGCAAAACAAACAUUAUCUACACAAUAUUUAACACCAUACGAAGUGUCAAUGUGAUUUAUAUUUUAAAGAUUCAAUCUCUGCGCUUAAUUACUAUAAUUACAUAAUAUUUAACACUAUAUGAAGUGUCCAUGUGAUUUUAUAUCGUAAAGAUUCAAUCUCCGCACUUAAUUACUAUAAUUAUAUAUUAAUAACAUCAAUAUCAAUAUUUAUUCACACGCGAUUCUAUUUUAAGUAUUAUUGUCCGGUAAGUUGAUAGAUACAACUGUUCAAGGCAAAUGUAUAUGCGCCUUCAUGAAUUAUAUUAUGAAAACCGAAAAAGCAGCAAUCUACCAUACUAUAAUAUUCAAGUAACAUCUGUUUAAUUAAUACUAUUUAUAAUUCCUAUUAGUUAAUGUUAUUAUUAAGUAAUAUUGUGUUCAAUAUUAUGUUCAACAUUAUGUUUGGAUUGCAAAAGUUAAUUAACAAAUAAUAUUUUACAAAACCGUUGUAUCCGGGUUAGCAUUAUUACUUUAGAAGUGUAGUAAUACAAAAGUUUGUAUCCACGCAGCACUUAAUUCAUGAAUAAUUAGUUGUUGUCUAUUUGUUUAUUUAUUUGAUAGUGUUGUGUGUUCAUUGUACUGCUAUUCUAUAAUUCAUACAAUCAGCAUUAAAAAUAAAAUAUAUGCUUCAUUACUAUUAUCAGAAAAAUCCGACCGCAGUUCAAUAAUGCUUAAUUCUUUGUUACAAGGAUCUAAUAGAUCUGAGGUGCGUCAAUGAAUUAAUGUCGCGCUCAUUAGCAGUUAUAUUGUCCAAUCAAAGAUUAAAUUAUUAUCAUUAAAUAAUUAAUUAAAAACAUCUAUUAUAAAUAAGCUACUAAAGAGGGCAUAAGUAUGUAGGUCAUACAGGAGGAGCUUACUUUCCUCCUGUUACCAAAAUGUUGUUGUAAGUUAUAUAAAUUUAUAAUUGCCUUUAUAGCACAAUAGUUUGUUAAUUCUUAGAAUAACACUAUGCUAAUUUAAGUAAUGUACUAUUUACCUCCUAUAUAUUGUGUACUUGUGUUCUUUUCAAAUCAAAUAGGAACUAACUAGUCGUAUAUCA